GCUCCCGACACGCCACGCGCCCCCCUGCGCCCUGGCCGGCCCUGCGCCCUGGCUACCCCAGCCGCCCGCGCGGCCCGCCGCCCCCGCCGCGCCGCCGCCCCCCCUGCGGCCCCCGCCCCCGCCGCGGGGAUGAGCAGGAUUCGCGGGAAAGGAGCAGCAAGCAACAAGAUUGGUGAAUUAUCGCGUGCGUGCAGUACAACCAGUGAUUCGAAUGUGGUAUUUAUCCUUUUUACCUGAUUCAAUUCAGCAUGAUUGUUUUAUAUUUUUUUCAUGCAGGCUGCAAUAUGCUUUUACUUCUUAAAUCCAUGGAAAUACAUACAUAGCUAAGAAAGGAUUGAGAUGCAGUAAUUAGUGUGAUUCAAACUUCUGCGUGGCUUACUUGAUAUGGGAAGUAUACGGAUAUAUUUGUGUAUAGUGCAUCUAUAAUGUAUACAUUGUUACUCAGUGAGUUCUGUCCUGGUGUUGCUGUUGAUCUCAAUGUAUUAACUUGCUUCUUCAGCCAUUCGCCUAUUAUUGAGAAGCUUAUAUUCCAGCUUUCUAAGGUAUGGUAUUUUUUUAGACAUGUGGCAUGUGUUAUUGAAUAUCUUUUACCAGCUUUCUAAGUUAUUUGCCAUUGGAACAACCAUUGGUGUGCAAGUUGACAAGAGAAUUCAACAGCUUUUAGACAUCUUGAGUACUUAUGGCAUGCCACUCGAGCAAGUAAAUAUCCAACGAACAAAUAGAGCUUCUGGACCUUGAUGUACCUUUAAAUCUUCAAGUACAGAAUAAGGAGACCUGGGUUAUUGAUGGAUCAACUAGUGUCCCUAACCAUAACAUUGGGGCAACCUUGUAAUGGGAUGUUUCUAUCUUCCUUCUAGAGAAAUGUCACUUCCACUCAAACAACCAAACGACCGACUUGCUAGUAUGACUUGUAUAGAUUCAGCUGGACAAAUUAUAUAGCUUCUAUUCCAGUUUUUGUUGAUGGAUUAGCAAGACAAUUUAUCAGAUAAGUCAUGUAGACAGCCGUGAUUGAACUUUUCUUUCAGGCUGGUCGGUCUGUAAAAUUAUACUCCGAAACUUUCUAUUGAUCUAUUGCUUGGUGUUAAUUCACGCAUUGCAA